UGAUAAUAAUACAGUAGAAAUCGGUGGAUGUCUGAUGCUGCUAUAAUCAUGGGCUUGUCAUAGACUUCCGUUUUUGACACCGAUUAGUCGGACUGCGGUUGACUUUCCACUUGCCGGAAGAUGGAGGCAUAAAAUUGAAGGCACGGGGUUAGUGCACAAUAAUAUAAAAGAGUUUAGGUUAAAGAUCGACAUUAAGGGCAAAAAGGAACUUAAUUGGAGA